UUUGUCUUUUAGGAAUUUACUAAGUGAAACUAUUCCAUUCUCUGGAUUUCCGGCCUUCUCUCAGCUCGAUCACCCAUGUCGAGGGGUUUACAACUUUAGGCUUUGUUUAUUUUAUAAUACGAGCGUACACGCAGAUGGUUUAAACUCCGCUCUUAAUUUAUAGCCAUCGAUACAAAAGAUCCUCGAAGAACAUUCGAGACAUAUCGAUACAAUAGUCUAUUCGAUAAAUAUUCCCAUGUCAAUGUCGCCAUACCAUUCUAGACAUAUUCACGUGAUAAACGUUUCACGUUACACCUUCCCCCUUAUACAAAAAGGUGUUUACAUAAAACAGCUUUUUCAUUCGAAACAUUGCUCCUUAAUAACGUGAAAGUAGGUCUGUAUCAACUAAUUCAUUCCAAAGUCACGCGUCGUACAACUUCAAUAGUCCAUUCAAUAGUUCGUAAUUUCGCACCCAGCAUAAUCCGUAUAUGUAAACAUACAACAAAUAAUAAUUCUCCCAUCUAUUAUCAAUCGUCUCUGGUGUAUUCAUAAGCCAUAAUAUUAAUAGAGUAUAAUCGCAAGUUUACAAGGCAACAACGAUCUAAUUCAGUCUUCGGUAAUAUCAUCUAGCCGUAUACACGCCAAUUUUAGUUUGUUGAUUUCGCGCAGCCAUAGUCUGUGUGGUGGUGAUUUUAUUGAAAAGCUCCUCAAAAUGCUGUGCAAAAGUUCGAGGCGUUUGUCCCUUGGCAAAUUCAGAAGAUAAUUAGAAAACUCCUGUGUGCCCUUUCAAGUGAACCUAAAGACUGAGGAUGGAAAGCUGUUGAAGUUAUUCUUUGAAUCUUGAAAAUCCUACAGAAAUGUUUCAUCACCUGACUAGUGAAAUUCCUUCCCUGGUCAGUAUGGAUUACCCUGUGGACACCCAAUCUGCUAAAAAAUUGCUCAGUAAAUGCAUGAGCGACUGUUUUCGUGUCGAUGGUUCUCAAAGGUAAUGAUACAACUUUAUCCAUUUGGAUUUUUCAAAAACUUGUCGAGAAGUAGUCCGUAUGUAUUCUAAAUGUUGAAGCCUCCUAAGACUUUAAGCCAUGCGAAACAUUGAAAUGCUGUUUUAACGGGAGCAUGCAUAAUUGCUGCAAACAUAUUUAUCACAAGUUCUAGCCACGCCACGGAGGCUUUGAAGUUCCUUCACCAUUCGCUUUCCUCUCUUUUGUUACACAGUUUCAAACUACGAUCAGGGGUAUCGAAACGCUGUAUUGAUUGUAAACAACCAUUUUUAUCUUGGAGCGGAGCGUUCCUUUACUCGUUCGAUUUGUCUUGUCGCGUGUGUAUUCGCUUUUUCGACGCUUUUUAACCAUUUAACUUAUUUAGCGAAGCGAAACGCACAGACAGACAAAAGAAAGGAACAGCAUCGCGCGUCAAACAGCGACGACCCAUCUGAAGCGAUCUUUUAUUUAUACACCGUUUGUAAACAGAGAGAUAUAUAAAGCGCGGGGAAUCAUUCGAAACCCUGGGGCUAUUCGAGCUUGCAUUUCAGCAAAUUAUCAUCUCAAACAUUUCACUCGUUUGCUUUUUCUAAAUUUAUAGGAGAGCUUCUUAAUGACUUUAACGAUAAUUCAACAAUCAUGUCUCAUAAAAAGAUUAUUCUCUACAUGAUGUAUGACAGGUAAAAAGGAAGGAUCUACCGUAGGUCUAUUUAUUUCAUCAUUCAAAUAUUAAUCAAUACUG